UACGGGGGGGGGUAAGCGUUGUUCGGAAUUACUGGGCGUAAAGGGCUCGUAGGCGGCCAACUAAGUCAGACGUGAAAUCCCUCGGCUUAACCGGGGAACUGCGUCUGAUACUGGAUGGCUUGAGUUUGGGAGAGGGAUGCGGAAUUCCAGGUGUAGCGGUGAAAUGCGUAGAUAUCUGGAGGAACACCGGUGGCGAAGGCGGCAUCCUGGACCAACACUGACACUGAGGAGCGAAAGCCAGGGGAGCAAACGGGG
rnacentral:rRNA from 1 species